AUCCACCUGACGAGUCCCAAACAGGACGAAACGCGCGUCCUGGAU
rnacentral:hammerhead_ribozyme from 1 species